rnacentral:lncRNA from 1 species
AAUUUGUUGUUGUUUAAUUGUGUGACUAAAUAAUGACUAAUAGUGACUUCAUCUGGAAUUUUUUUUUUUGGCAAAGAGACUAGAGUGGUUUGCCAUUUCCUUCUCCAGCUCAUUUUACAGAUGAAGAAACUGAGGCAAACAAGGCUUAAGUGACUUGCCCAGUAUCACAAAGCUAAUCGCUCACCUGGUCUCCUCCCUGCCCACCCCGGCUGCCUGCUCCUGCUCCUGGCCUCUCUCUUGCUCACCUGGCCCAGCUGAUCCCGGCCCAGCAACCCUGACCUCAGAGCAGACCGCUUAUCACCCCAGGCCCAAGACUCACUUCUACCAGCUGGUAACAAAAACAAAAACAAAAACAAAAAAAACGGGGGUGGAUCACAGAAGAGGGAAAAAAGGGAAAGAGGAAGGAGAUUUUUCCAAACUGGAACUUAUAACCAUGACUGAUUUAAAAGGAUAUCUUUUAACUAUAUUGAUAAUUUCAUCUACCUCACAUGUGAUUCAGGGGAAAAAUUCAGUUCCCUGCAAUUUUGGGGAGGCAGCUGGGUGGUUCAAUGGACUGAGAGCCAGGCAUAGAGACGGGAGGUCCUUGGUUGAAAUCUGGCCUCAGAGACUUCCUAGCGGUGUGGCCCUAGACGGGUCAUUUAACCUCCAUUGCCUAACCAUUACCAAUCUCCUGCCUUCUGACAAUAGGCAUCUAAAUAGAUAAAAACCCAAGGAACUUCAAAGAGACUGGAGAUUAUAUUUUUAAAGC